rnacentral:rRNA from 1 species
CCUGAACGCUGGCGGCGUGGCUAAGACAUGCAAGUCGUACGGGACCCGCAAGGGUUCAGUGGCGAACGGGUGAGUAAUGUAUCGCUAACGUGCCCCCGAGUCAGGGAUAGCUGCCCGAAAGGGCAGGUAAUACCUGAUAAGACCACGAAGAGGCAUCUCUUUGUGCUCAAAGCAGCGAUGCGCUCAGGGAGCGGGCGAUAUCGUAUCAGCUAGUUGGGAGGUAACGGCUCACCAAGGCGACGACGCGUAGCCGGACUGAGAGGUUGGCCGGCACAUUGGGACGUGAGACACUGCCCACGACUCCUACGGGGGCGUGCAGUAACGAAUCUUCCGCAAUGCACGAAAGUGUGACGGAGCGACGCCGCGUGUGGGACG